GCGUUGGUGGUAUAGUGGUGAGCAUAGCUGCCUUCUAAGCAGUUGACCUGGGUUCGAUUCCCGGCCAACGCA
rnacentral:tRNA from 1 species